GACGAACGCUGGCGGCGUGCCUAAUGCAUGCAAGUAGAACGCUGAAGAGAGGAGCUUGCUCUUCUUGGAUGAGUUGCGAACGGGUGAGUAACGCGUAGGUAACCUGCCUUGUAGCGGGGGAUAACUAUUGGAAACGAUAGCUAAUACCGCAUAACAAUGGAUGACACAUGUCAUUUAUUUGAAAGGGGCAAUUGUUCCACUACAAGAUGGACCUGCGUUGUAUUAGCUAGUAGGUGAGGUAAUGGCUCACCUAGGCGACGAUACAUAGCCGACCUGAGAGGGUGAUCGGCCACACUGGAACUGAGACACGGCCCAGACUCCUACGGGAGGCAGCAGUAGGGAAUCUUCGGCAAUGGGCGAAAGCCUGACGGAGCAACGCCGCGUGAGUGAAGAAGGUUUUCGGAUCGUAAAACUCUGUUGUUAGUGAAGAACGAAUGUGAGAGUGGAAAGUCCCCACUGGACCGGAAGCAUACAAAAAAGGAACGGUUACUUCCGU
rnacentral:rRNA from 1 species